rnacentral:rRNA from 1 species
AUUGAACGCUGGCGGCAGGCCUAACACAUGCAAGUCGAACGAGUGGCGGACGGGUGCGUAAUGUGUGGGAAACUGCCUGAUGGAGGGGGAUCACUACUGGAAACGGUAGCUAAUACCGCAUACCAUCGGAUGUGCCCAGAUGGGAUUAGCUAGUUGGUGGGGAAACGGGUCACCUAGGCGACGAUCCCUAGCUGGUCUGAGAGGAGGACCAGCCAGACGGGAACGGAGACACGGUCCAGACUCCUACGGGAGGCAGCAGUGGGGAAUAUUGCACAAUGGGCGCAAGCCUGAUGCAGCCAUGCCGCGUGUAUGAAGAAGGCCUUCGGGUUGUAAAGUACUUUCAGCGGGGAGGCGUUACCCGCAGAAGAAGCACCGGCUAACUCCGUGCCAGCAGCCGCGGUAAUUC